GAGUUUGAUCAUGGCUCAGAUUGAACGCUGGCGGCAUGCUUUACACAUGCAAGUCGAACGGUAACGCGGGGGCAACCCUGGCGACGAGUGGCGAACGGGUGAGUAAUACAUCGGAACGUGUCCUGGAGUGGGGGAUAGCUCGGCGAAAGCCGGAUUAAUACCGCAUACGCUCUGAGGAGGAAAGCGGGGGACCUUCGGGCCUCGCGCUGCGGGAGCGGCCGAUGUCGGAUUAGCUAGUUGGUGGGGUAAAGGCCUACCAAGGCGACGAUCCGUAGCUGGUCUGAGAGGAUGAUCAGCCACACUGGGACUGAGACACGGCCCAGACUCCUACGGGAGGCAGCAGUGGGGAAUUUUGGACAAUGGGGGCAACCCUGAUCCAGCCAUGCCGCGUGAGUGAAGAAGGCC
rnacentral:rRNA from 1 species